rfam:Microgenomates bacterium GW2011_GWA2_37_6 TS51_C0017, whole genome shotgun sequence.
GCCGCCUUAGCUCAGCGGCAGAGCAGCUGUUUUGUAAACAGCAGGUCCUCGGUUCAAAUCCGAGAGGCGGCU